AGGUACAGUUCAGUUAGGUUACAGUUCAGUUAGGUUAGAGUUCAGUUAGGUUACAAUACAGUUAGGUUAGAGUUCAGUAAGGUUACAGUUCAGUUAGGUUACAGUUCAGUUAGGUUAUAAUACAGUUAGGUUACAGUUCCGUUAGGUUACAAUACAGUUAGGGUACAGUUCAGUUAGGUUAGAGUUCAGUUAUGUUACAAUACAGUUAGGUUACAAUACAGUUAGGGUACAGUUCAGUUAGGUUACAAUACAGUUAGGGUACAGUUCAGUUAGGUUAGAGUUCAGUUAUGUUACAAUACAGUUAGGGUACAGUUCAGUUAGGUUAUAAUACAGUUAGGUUACAGUUCAGUUAGGUUACAAUACAGUUAGGGUACAGUUCAGUUAGGUUAGAGUUCAGUUAUGUUACAAUACAGUUAGGUUACAAUACAGUUAGGGUACAGUUCAGUUAGGUUACAAUACAGUUAGGUUACAGUUCAGUUAGGUUAUAAUACAGUUAGGUUACAGUUCAGUUAGGUUACAAUACAGUUAGGGUACAGUUCAGUUAGGUUAGAGUUCAGUUAUGUUACAAUACAGUUAGGUUAGAGUUCAGUUAGGUUAUAAUACAGUUAGGUUACAGUUCAGUUAGGUUACAUUUCAGUUAGGUUACAAUACAGUUAGGUUACAAUACAGUUAGGUUAUAGUUCAGUUAUGUUACAGUUCACUUAGGUUACAAUACAGUUAGGUUACAGUUCAGUUAGGUUACAGUUCAGUUAGGUUACAAUACAGUUAGGUUAUACUUCAGUUAGGUUACAAUACAGUUAGGUUAUAGUUCAGUUAUGUUACAGUUCAGUUAGGUUACAAUACAGUUAGGUUACAGUUACGUUAGGUUACAGUUCAGUUAGGUUUUUGCAUUGCCAUGGCGCUGCUAAGGCAGCCAUGGCUGAUCGCUCCCAUACAUUUUUGUACAUUUAUUGAUUUCUAAGUGUUAUCUUGACAAAGGUUUAAGUCUGUUGUUGUCAAAGUGAGUGCUACACAGUGUUUGUGGAGAGGAGUGGCUAGUUACACUGCAACAAAAUGUCCCCAUGGAGACUAUAAAGUCAGUAAGUAAGUAAGUAAGUAAGUAAGUAAGUAAGUAAGUAAGUAAGUAAGUGUGCUGCAAUUCAGCUUUUAGCUGCCAAGUAUGUAAUGUAUGUAAAAAAUAAUACACUACUACUGCUAAUACUUAAAUUAGUACUACUGCUACUACUAUUGUACUGUUACAAUACUGUAGGUGUGAGUACUAACAACUAUUUUGUUGAUGUUUUUAGUUUUGUGUGUUUGAAUGCACAUGGCUUGGCUUUCAUUUCUAGGCCUUCAUGGCCAGGCCUUCAUGGCUAGGCCUUCUUGGCUAGGCCUUCUUGGCUAGGCCUUCUUGGCCUACUUUUUAUAUCAAUAAGAUAUUCUGGUAUGGACGCCAGAGGACAAAAAUCAGUUAACCACCUAACUGAGGAACUCAAUUUAACCUUGCGCAAUACCCUAGAUGCAGUUGCACCCUAAAAACUAAAAACAUUUCUCAUAAGAAACUAGCUCCCUGGUACACAGAUAAUACCCGAGCUCUGAAGCAAGCUUCCAGAAAAUUGGAACGGAAAUGGCGCCACACACCAAACUGGAAGUCUUCCGACUAGCUUGGAAAGACAGUACCGUGCAGUAUCGAAGAGCCCUUACUGCUGCUCGAUCAUCCUAUUUUUCUAACUUAAUUGAGGAAAAUAAGAACAAUCUGAAAUUCCUUUUUGAUACUGUCGCAAAGCUAACUAAAAACAGCAUUCCCCAAGAGAGGAUGACUUUUACUUUAGCAGUGAUAAAUUCAUGAACUUCUUUGAGGAAAAGAUUAUGAUUAUUAGAAAGCAAAUUACGGACUCCUCUUUAAAUCUGCGUGUUCCUUCAAAGCUCAGUUGUCCUGAGUCUGCACAACUCUGCCAGGACCUAGGAUCAAGAGAGACGCUCAAGUGUUUUAGUACUAUAUCUCUUGACACAAUGAUGAAAAUAACCAUGGCCUCUAAACCUUCAAGCUGCAUACUGGACCCUAUUCCAACUAAACUACUGAAAGAGCUGCUUCCUGUGCUUGGCCCUCCUAUGUUGAACAUAAUAAACGGCUCUCUAUCCACCGGAUGUGUACCAAACUCACUAAAAGUGGCAGUAAUCUCUUGAAAAAGCCAAACCUUGACCCAGAAAAUAUAAAAACUAUCGGCCUAUAUCGAAUCUUCCAUUCCUCUCAAAAUUUUUAGAGAAGGCUGUUGCGCAGCAACUCACUGCCUUCCUGAAGACAAACAAUGUAUACAAAAUGCUUCAGUCUGGUUUUAGACCCCAUCAUAGCACUGAGACGGCACUUGUGAAGGUGGUAAAUUACAUUUUAAUGGCAUCGGACCGAGGCUCUGCAUCUGUCCGCGUGCUCCUAGACCUUAGUGCUGCUUUUGAUACCAUCGAUCACCACAUUCUUUUGGAGAGAUUGGAAACCCAAAUUGGUCUACACGGACUAGUUCUGGCCUGGUUUAGAUCUUAUCUGUCGGAAAGAUAUCAGUUUGUCUCUGUGAAUGGUUUGUCCUCUGACAAAUCAACUGUAAAUUUUGGUUUUCCUCAAGGUUCCGUUUUAGGACCACUAUUGUUUUCACUAUAUAUUUUUACCUCUUGGGGAUGUUAUUCGAAAACAUAAUGUUAACUUUCACUGCUAUGCGGAUGACACACAGCUGUACAUUUCAAUGAAACAUGGUGAAGCCCCAAAAUUGCCCUUGCUAGAAGCAUGUGUUUCAGACAUAAGGAAGUGGAUGGCUGCAAACUUUCUACUUUUAAACUUGGACAAAACAGAGAUGCUUGUUCUAGGUCCCAAGAAACAAAGAGAUCUUCUGUUGAAUCUGACAAUUAAUCUUAAUGGUUGUACAGUCGUCUCAAAUAAAACUGUGAAGGACCUCGGCGUUACUCUGGACCCUGAUCUCUCUUUUGAAGAACAUAUCAAGACCAUUUCAAGGACAGCUUUUUUCCAUCUACGUAACAUUGCAAAAAUCAGAAACUUUCUGCCCAAAAAUGAUGCAGAAAAAUUAAUCCAUGCUUUUGUCACUUCUAGGUUAGACUACUGCAAUGCUCUACUUUCCGGCUGACCGGAUAAAGCACUAAAUAAACUUCAGUUAGUGCUAAAUACGGCUGCUAGAAUCCUGACUAGAACCAAAAUAUUUGAUCAUAUUACUCCAGUGCUAGCCUCUCUACACUGGCUUCCUGUCAAAGCAAGGGCUGAUUUCAAAGUUUUACUGCUAACCUACAAAGCAUUACAUGGGCUUGCUCCUACCUACAGUGCCUUGCGAAAGUAUUCGGCCCCCUUGAACUUUGCGACCUUUUGCCACAUUUCAGGCUUCAAACAUAAAAAUAUAAAACUGUAUUUUUUUUGUGAAGAAUCAACAACAAGUGGGACACAAUCAUGAAGUGGAACAACAUUUAUUGGAUAUUUCAAACUUUUUUAACAAAUCAAAAAAAGAAAAAUUGGGCGUACAAAAUUAUUCAGCCCCUUUACUUUCAGUGCAGCAAACUCUCUCCAGAAGUUCAGUGAGGAUCUCUGAAUGAUCCAAUGUUGACCUAAAUGACUAAUGAUGGUAAAUACAAUCUACCUGUGUGUAAUCAAGUCUCCGUAUAAAUGCGCCUGCACUGUGAUAGUCUCAGAGGUCCGUUAAAAGCGCAGAGAGCAUCAUGAAGAACAAGGAACACACCAGGCAGGUCCGAGAUACUGUUGUGAAGAAGUUUAAAGCCGGAUUUGGAUACAAAAAUAGAGAGUGUCUCCUGACCCCUCCUGUCUCAGCCUCCAGUAUUUAUGCUGCAGUAGUUUAUGUGUCGGGGGGCUAGGGUCAGUUUGUUAUAUCUGGAGUACUUCUCCUGUCCUAUUCGGUGUCCUGUGUGAAUCUAAGUGUGCGUUCUCUAAUUCUCCCCUUCUCUCUUUCUUUCUCUCUCUCGGAGGACCUGAGCCCUAGGACCAUGCCCCAGGACUACCUGACAUGAUGACUCCUUGCUGUCCCCAGUCCACCUGGCCGUGCUGCUGCUCCAGUUUCAACUGUUCUGCCUUAUUAUUAUUCGACCAUGCUGGUCAUUUAUGAACAUUUGAACAUCUUGGCCAUGUUCUGUUAUAAUCUCCACCCGGCACAGCCAGAAGAGGACUGGCCACCCCACAUAGCCUGGUUCCUCUCUAGGUUUCUUCCUAGGUUUUGGCCUUUCUAGGGAGUUUUUCCUAGCCACCGUGCUUCGACACCUGCACUGCUUGCUGUUUGGGGUUUUAGGCUGGGUUUCUGUACAGCACUUUGAGAUAUCAGCUGAUGUACGAAGGUCUAUAUAAAUAAAUUUGAUUUGAUUUGUUUUGGUAAUUGUAACAAUACAGUUAUUGUCUUGUACUGAUAUAAUACAAUACAAUAGUGUAGGUGUGAGUUUAACAAUACAGAAACUAUUGAUGUUAAUUGGUUUAUGUUUUUGAAACCUCUGGGCCAGGCCGCCAUUGUGAACGAGAACAUGUUAUUGACUUUUUCUUAUUGAAGAAUGACAACAACAAAAAAAAAAAUCACUUCAAACUAUGCCUCUUCCAAGGAAUGGACAUAAAAUGGAUGCCUUCCAGGUCCAGUCUUGAAAGGUGUCGCACAUUCUAUUUCCCCUUGACAACAUUUAUUUUAUCCUGCCAUGCCAGACGAGGUGCAAGAGAUGAAUCUAAGCAGAGAUGAGUGCUUUGUACCUAUCAGUACUACAUGUUUUAUUUAUGCUUAUAUGUUUUAAAACUCUUAACCACUAA